rnacentral:lncRNA from 1 species
UGUAUAUUACCAAAAGCCAAAAAGUGAAUACAUGGACGAGAGGGACAUAAUGCCUUAUCUCCUUUGGAUCAUAGUCCGAGUUAGGCCUAUUUAGAGAUCUACUAAUUACACAAAAGCUCCUAUAAGUUGAGGCACAUGAGUAGUGAUUACUGAGAAUUUGUGAAUCUACUAAUUACACAAAAACUCCUAUAAGUUGAGGCACAUGAGUAGUGAUUACUGAGAAUUUGUGAAGGGUUGUUUUCCGUUCCACAAUGAUAGAGGAUAUAUAAAAAUAUAGGGCUAAUUAUAUACUUAAUCACCAUGAGAAUUUGUAUUGUCCCUCCUAAGUCUAAUUCUAAAACAUGGGAAUUGUGCUCUAUCAAUAACGGUAAGCUCCCCUUACUUCAGCUGGUAAUUCACAUACCUGAGAGAAAAUUCUAUUAGUAUUAGGAGGCAGGAUCUUCACAAGAAAAUGAAAAUAAUAGUCCCUAAGAUCAAAACCAUCCCAGCAGAAUUGCAGAAAUGUCAAAUGACAGCCCAACAAGGAAUAAUGAAAGAACUAAUGUAUUCGUCAAUUAAGUCAAAAUUGGACUAA